CAGCCGCCGCGGUAAUACGGAGGGUGCAAGCGUUAUUCGGAAUUACUGGGCGUAAAGCGCACGCAGGCGGUUGCCCAAGUCAGAUGUGAAAGCCCCGGGCUUAACCUGGGAACUGCAUUUGAAACUGGGCGACUAGGGUACGAAAGAGGAAAGCGGAAUUUCCGGUGUAGCAGUGAAAUGCGUAGAUAUUGGAAGGAACACCGAUGGCGAAGGCAGCUUUCUGGGUCGAUACUGACGCUCAUGUGCGAAAGCGUGGGGAGCAAACAGGAUUAGAUACCCCAGUAGUCCCUGUCUCUUAUAC
rnacentral:rRNA from 1 species